rnacentral:rRNA from 1 species
CAGUCGCCGCGGGAAUACAGAGGUCUCAAGCGUUGUUCGGAUUCAUUGGGCGUAAAGGGUGCGUAGGUGGCGGUGUAAGUCUAACGUGAAAUCUCGGGGCUCAACCUCGAAAUUGCGUCGGAUACUGCAUUGCUAGAGGAUUGUAGAGGAGAGUGGAAUUCAUGGUGUAGCAGUGAAAUGCGUAGAUAUCAUGAGGAAGACCAGUUGCGAAGGCGACUCUCUGGGCCAACACUGACACUGAGGCACGAAAGCGUGGGGAGCAAACAGGAUUAGAUACCCCAGUAGUCCCUGUCUCUUAUAC